rnacentral:rRNA from 1 species
GUUUGAUCCUGGCUCAGAUUGAACGCUGGCGGCAUGGCUAAAACAUGCAAGUCGAACGAGGUUUUUUCUUCGGAUAGAACCUAGUGGCGAAAGGGCGAGUAAUGCAUUUCUGACGUACCCCGAGGUUCAGGAUAGCCCAGGGAAACUUGGAGUAAUACUGGAUGUGGUCAACGGGUCUAGAAGCUGUUGAUCAAAGGAGCAAUCCGCCUUGGGCGCGGGAAAUGUCCUAUCAGGUUGUUGGUGGGGUAAUGGCCUACCAAGCCGAAGACGGGUAGCGGGUGUGAGAGCACGGCCCGCCGCAUCGGGACUGAGACACUGCCCGGACUCCUACGGGAGGCUGCAGUAACGAAUAUUCCACAAUGCGCGAAAGCGUGAUGGAGCAAUGCCGCGUGCAGGAUGAAGGCCUUCGGGUUGUAAACUGCUGUCAGGGUUUAGGAACACAAUGACCAGACCCAAAGGAAGAGACGGCUAACUCUGUGCCAGCAGCCGCGGUAAUACAGAGGUCUCGAGCGUUAAUCGGAAUCACUGGGCUUAAAGCGUACGCAGGCGGACCGGUAAGUACUUUGUGAAAUCCCUCGGCUCAACCGAGGAACUGCUUGGUAUACUGCCGGUCUUGAGCAUGGUAGAGGCGGUCGGAACGAUAGGUGGAGCGGUGAAAUGCGUAGAUAUCUAUCGGAACGCCGAAGGUGAAGACAGGCCGCUGGGCCAUUGCUGACGCUCAGGUACGAAAGCGUGGGGAGCGAACGGGAUUAGAUACCCCGGUAGUCCACGCCCUAAACGAUGUGCACUAGAUCAGGGAGGUUCUGAUACCCUCCGGGUCGAAGCAAAAGUGUUAAGUGCACCGCCUGGGGAGUACGGUCGCAAGGCUAAAACUCAAAGGAAUUGACGGGGGCUCACACAAGCGGUGGAGCAUGUGGCUUAAUUCGAAGCAACGCGAGAACCUUAUCCUGGGCUUGACAUGUACGGAUUAGCAUAUGGA